GACGAACGCUGGCGGCGUGCUUAACACAUGCAAGUCGAACGGAAAGGCCCUGCUUUUGUGGGGUGCCCGAGUGGCGAACGGGUGAGUAACACGUGAGUAACCUGCCCUUGACUUUGGGAUAACUUCAGGAAACUGGGGCUAAUACAGGAUAGGAGCUCCUGCUGCAUGGGGGGGGGUGGAAAGUGUCGGCUGUGGGGGAUGGACGAGCGGCUUACGAGCUUGUUGGUGGGGUAGUGGCUGACCAAGUCUGUGAAUGGUAGGCGGCCUGGGAGGGUGGCCGGGCACCUUAGGACUGCGGUACGGCCCAGACUCCAACGGUAGGCAGCAGUCGGGAAUCUUGCACAGUGGGCGCGCGUCUGUGGCGGCAGCGCCCCGUGCGUGAUGCCGGCUUGCGGGUUGUGAACCGCUUUCGCCUGUGACGCAGCGUGCGUGACGGUACUGGGUAAAGAAGCACCGGCUAACUACGUG
rnacentral:rRNA from 1 species